rnacentral:misc_RNA from 1 species
UAUCGCUCCCUUUUGUUCGCAUCUCUCUGCUUGCCUCUCUCUAUCUCUCCUUGAUGCAUCAAUGCAUCGCAUAUCUCACCAUUCUCAGCCUUUCUCCACUUGGCUCUGCCUAGUGAGCGCACACUCAUGUGUCAUGUUAAUUUCUUGCUUUCAACUUCAAGUGCUAUUUCAAUGUACUUUUGUCCCAAGUCCUACCUUAGUUCCUAAAAUUCAUUCAUUGUUGAUCUAAAAAGUGCUGUUAAAUCAUCGACAUGGAGGAACUUGGGUUUUCGCUGUCUCCAUCGCUAAACAAGUGUCUCUUAUGCAAUCAUUUAGGUGUUGUGAUAAAUCUGGGUUUGAUUGAAAAAUAGAAAUUAAUGAUGUUUUAUUUGAGUAUCG